rnacentral:lncRNA from 1 species
AAACCUCUCCCCUUUGUCUUCUGCAUUUCACUGCUUCUUAACUUUUCUUUUUCUUUCUUUCAUUUUUCUUCCUUUCUCUCUCUCUCCCUUCCUUCCUUCCUUCCUUCCUUUCUCUCUCUCUCUCUCCUUUUCUUUCUUUCUUUCUUUCUUUCUUUCUUUCUUUCUUUCUUUCUUUUUUUCUCUCUCUUUCUCUUUCUUUCUUUCUUUCUUUCUUUCUUUCUUUCUUUUUUUCUCUCUCUUUCUCUUUCUUUCUUUCUUUCUUUCUUUUUUCUCUCUCUUUCUUUUUCUUUCUUUCUUUUUUUCUCUCUUUUUCUUUCUUUCUUUCUUUCUUUCUUUCUUUCUUUCUUUCUUUCUUUCUUUCUUUCUUUCUUUCUUUCUUUCUUUUCUUUCUUUCUUUCUUUCUUCUUUCUUUCUUUCUUUCUUUCUUUUUUCUCUCUCUUUUUCUUUCUUUCGUUCUUUCUUUCUUCUUUCUUUCUUCUUUCUUUCUUCUUUCUUUCUUCUUUCUUUCUUCCUUCCUUCCUUCCUUUCUCUCUCUUUUUCUCUCUCUUCUCUCUCUCUCUCUCCUUUUCUUUCUUUCUCUCUCUUCUCUCUCUUUCUCUUUCUUUCUUCUUUCUUUCUUUCGUUCUUUCUUUCUUUUUUUCUCUCUCUUUCUCUUUCUUUCUUCUUUCUUUCUUUUUUUCUCUCUCUUUUUCUUUCUUUCUUUCUUUCUCUCUCUCUCUCUCCUUUUCUUUCUUCCUUCCUUCCUUCCUUCCUUCCUUCCUUCCUUCCUUCCUUCCUUCCUUCCUCUCUCUCUCUCCUUUUCUUUCUUUCGUUCUUUCUUUCUUUCUUUUCUUCUUUCUUUCUUUUUUUUCUCUCUCUUUCUUUCUUUCUUUCGUUCUUUCUUUCGUUCUUUCUUUCUUCCUUCCUUCCUUCCUCCUUCCUUCCUUCCUUCUUCCUUCCUUCCUUUCUCUCUCUUUCUCUUUCUUUCUUUCUUCCUUCCUUCCUUCCUUCCUUCCUUCCUUCUUCCUUCCUUCCUUCUCUCUCUUCAUUUCUGCAAACACUCUCUGUUUUCUAGCUGCUUGCCAUAUUUUGGUCUAUUUUAAUAGUCCAGUCUUGGUUACAUAUAGUUUCUAA